ACUAUGGGGCAGGGUAGGAAGCCCUUUCUGGAGGUAGGGUGAGAGGUUGCAGUUCUGUGGCUCUGCUUAUUGCAAGAGGAGGCCCUGCAGUGCUAAGCCUCUUGUUUUGCCUGGAGAAAUGGAUUCCUGCCAGACCUUCUCCUAGAGGGCUCAUCUCUUUCCUCAGCACCCGUGCUGCAGAAAGUUGGCUUGCAGGAAAGGUACCUGUUGCUCCAUCUGAUGCUGUCAGGUUUCUUCCAAACCCACCUUCACAACUCAGAUAAAGGAGUUGCAGAGGCGGUGCGUGCUUUCCAGAGGAGAUCUGGUCUUGAUGCCAAGGAAUUUUCCCCCUUUCUGCACUUAUUUCAGCACAGCAGAGCUGCAAAGAUUUUGAGUGACAAAUAAGAUGUGACAUAGCAAGAAUGAUGAGACAGACAUCCAGUAAUAGCAGACAAAACCUCUGUUACAGGAAAUCACUUCCGUAUCAUACUUUCAAUAUCUGAGAGAUGUGUGCAUGCUUACUACCUUAGCAGAUCUGGUUUUGUCAUGCAACUUUAUCAAUGUUAUUAAUACUUAUUUGUGCUGGUGCAAUUCGUAGAGUAAAGCCUCCAGUGUGCUGUCAUGCUAGCAGCUUUGCAGUGUGCCAGUGGACGUCCCUUUGAGACUUAGCAGCUGAAUCCACUUGCCAUUCUUCAGGAUUUCCAGAAUUUCAGACACAUUCUGCUUCCCUUACAAUUGCUUUACUCAAGGAAGGAAAAUUAAGCAGUACUAGAAGAGAACAAAAUCUGUUAGGUUUUUUUGGUACCUUAAGACAAUCAGUGAUCAAAAGUUAAGAUGCAGACUUAGGGGAACAGCAUGUCACGAGAUCUCCACAACCAUGAAAUGUUGUCAUAUGAAGCUCCUGCAAAGUCAGAGGGUUCUGUACAUGUUUCUCCUCCUGUUCUAGGAAGCUGUGCUCUCCCCUAGUGAAAAAAAGAUCUGGAAGCAAGGGGAGGUAAAGAGUUACGUUCCCCAGUAUGUGGCUGCCCAACCUUAAUUUAAAUGAAUUGAUCUUGAGCUUCCAUUUAACUGGAAAAAUAGGAACAAAUCAGAAACCCCAACCGUUGCCAAAUCUGAACUUUUCUGUGUAAGUGAUUUAGCAAACUAAAGUUGAAGUAGUUCAUGUGUGUGUUUUGACCUGCAGUGCCUCUUGUUUGCUUUACAUCAGAUAACUAUCACUUGUGAUCACUAGGUGAUAAAUUAACAUCUUUGUUUAAACAAGCAAGCCCGGGGGCACCAACUCGUUCCUGACUGUGGAACUGUCCUUGUUUCAGCCCCCUCAGUGUUAUAUGUGUCCUUUGCAAAUACAGGGUCUGCUGGGUUAGAUGGUUGUGUCAGAUUUGUGUUGCUCAAGAAGAAACAGAAGCUUAAUGUCUUGAAGGUUCAGCUCAGCAGCAUGGCCAGGCAGCCUGCCUGUUAGGGUUGCAAGCCUCUUUCAUGCAUGGCCAGUUCCAAAGCUCUGUGCAGCAGGACUCGGGAAUGAAAAAUGUCAUCCACAAUUAUGCAUAUUUUCAUCAUCUUCUAUCAUGUAAAUCCCCCUGCCCCAAGUGUGCAGCAAAUGUUUUGUUUGCAUAUGUAGGUCAACCACAAAUCUUCAGUGGUCUAACAUAAGCAGUGGAAGCAUAGGUUGAUGUAUAUAGAUUUAAACCUGGUCUGAAGCACAGCACCACCAUGGACGUUUUCCAAGUGGAGUCUGUUUACUCGAUAUGUUUUCUUCUGACUUUUCAUUUUAUAAAGCAUUGGUUGCUUAAUGAUUUGUGAAAGCACAACUGAUGGAAGAUACUCGCCAUCAUUGCAAAAGGAACUAUUAACUUCAGACACAGAUGGAUGGUUCUCAAUGAGUAACUUUUACAGCGAUAGCUUGAGAAGUGUGUUCUUUUUUCAGAAAUACAUUAAAGUGUUUCUGCAAAUAGUUUUUCUUUUGCCACUGGCAGGAGGCCAGUGUUAAAUGAUUUUAAAGAGAUUGCAUGUUCUUUUUGCACAUUACAUGCUACUUAGUUUUUCUUGUCUUGGCUAUCUUAAAAGAAAAAUACAGAAGGAAAUACGUUUAUUGUCCUUGUGAUGCUAGAUAAAAGCUACAAAUUCUGCCUCAGUAACCAAAAAAGCGGGCACAUUUAUUAUUUAAGAAAAAUGGUUUUUACUAAAUUCAAAAGCUCGUUGACUUCCCAAGUCUAACUCCUGAAUUCUGUACACCACGGGUUGGCAGUGCCGUUCCCCUUCAGUUGAGUUGUGUGGAUCAGGUUGUUACCCUGAUGUGAAACUCAAACUGCUCAGUUUACUUGUCUGGGAAGGUGUAAUUCUUAGAAUGAGGUUUUCAGUGAGGAUGUUCCCGCAAAUACAUGCGGAGUGUCUGCUAGCACAGUUCAGGCAAACAGGUUGAUGUCUGUAGUGGUACUCCAUUGGUGCUCUGCAGCUGUAUAACUGCUUUAUUACCAAACUCCCCUUGGAUCUGACAGUACAAUGCACAUCAUGGCAAGGUGUGUAUCUGCACACGCAUCAGAUUAACCAUGUCCUGGUGUAAUGACCCAGGAAGUUUUGAUUUAGGAUGAAUAAGAGUGAAGUUGUUGACUUAAGAGAUGAGUAAAAUACUGUACAGUAUCCUUCCCAAUUCCCAUAAAAUCAGACUAGCACCUCUGCUAGAUUUCAUAUCCUGAAUUUAGCUAAUGGAAAUAUAGGGACACUACAUGAGGAGACAGAUCACAGCUCUUACAAGGCCAGAAUACUGUGAGGUUGGAAUUGAGGUAUUUCUUGAGGGUAUGUGAUACCGUGCCAACAACUGUACAUGUACACUGAUAUUCAUCAGAUACCUUCCUGUGUAGGAGCACACACCUUGUUCUGUCCUGCCUACAAACACCAUCACCACUGUAAUGCUGAAAGAUGAUUCAGAAGAAGCAAACAUUGCUGUUUUUCCCCAGCAUAGCUUUAACAGACGCACGGUUCUUGACAGAACACACAUCUUUGGUCAUUUAUUAUCACCAGCUAACAAUUUGUUCUCAUUAACAACUCCCUCUGAGCCAGGCUCUCAGGAAAUAGGCUUGUGUUUAAGAGCACACAGUAACUUUAAAUUUCCCUUCUCCUCACAGGGGACAGAUGUUUCCUAUUUCUCUCCUGCUGCUAGAUCCAGCUUGCAGUAUUCAGCAGGAUACACUUGCCUUCUGUAUUACCUUGCUCCUUUAUUACUGCUCAACCUAUAUUUUACUCCCCUACCUUGCUGUACCUGAAUACCACGUGCAGUCUCACUUCAUGCUGCACACUGCAGACCAUCUCUAUUUAUCUCAACAUGAAAUGAAGGCUUUACCCAUACAGUACAGUGCAAACCAAGUAUCUGGUAUAUUGCAGCUUCUCUGGUAGAGAAACAACUAGUACCUUAUUAACCUGUAAGAAAUGUGGCUAUAUCAUAAUUAGAUAUAAAAAUAUU